rfam:Haemonchus contortus, ISE/inbred ISE, WGS project CAVP01000000 data, contig: Hcontortus_31899
GUCGCAAACUUGAAGUAGAGUAGAUUAGUAUGGUCAGCUGAUCCUUAUAAUCUACUCUACUUCGAAUCUGGGCCC